rnacentral:tRNA from 1 species
GCCUGGGUGGCUCAGUCGGUUAAGCGUCUGACUUCAGCUCAGGUCAUGAUCUCACGGUUUGUGGGUUUGAGCCCCGCGUCGGGCU